UUAUAAAUUUUUUUAUGCAAUUCGAUUGCUAAAAUAUUCUAGUCUUAUCGGUGGAUCACUCGGCUCGUGGAUCGAUGAAGAACGCAGCCAACUGCGAUAAUUAGUGUGAACUGCAGAAACCUUGAACACAGAACUUUCGAAUGCACAUUGCGCCAUUGG
rnacentral:rRNA from 1 species